AACGAACGCUGGCGGCAUGCCUAACACAUGCAAGUCGAACGAGACCUUCGGGUCUAGUGGCGCACGGGUGCGUAACGCGUGGGAACCUGCCCUUAGGCUCGGAAUAACUCCCCGAAAGGGGUGCUAAUACCGGAUAAUGUCUUCGGACCAAAGAUUUAUCGCCUUUGGAUGGGCCCGCGUUGUAUUAGCUAGUUGGUAGGGUAAAAGCCUACCAAGGCGACGAUCCAUAGCUGGUCUGAGAGGAUGAUCAGCCACACUGGGACUGAGACACGGCCCAGACUCCUACGGGAGGCAGCAGUGGGGAAUAUUGGACAAUGGGCGAAAGCCUGAUCCAGCAAUGCCGCGUGAGUGAUGAAGGCCUUAGGGUUGUAAAGCUCUUUUACCCGGGAUGAUAAUGACAGUACCGGGAGAAUAAGCUCCGGCUAACUCCGUG
rnacentral:rRNA from 1 species